GAGCGGUAGCGCGGGAGCGGGAGCGGGAGCUUGCCUGGCGCUGGCUGGGAGCCGCCAUCUUGUGGCGCUCCCUCCCUCAGCGACGCUGGUGUGGUGCCGGGCCGCUCGCUGCGGAAGGGGCCGGGCGGCGAGGGGAGCUCCGCUUCGCCGUGCGCCCGUGGGAUGAGGCUGACCUUGGCUAGGGUCUGGGCGAAGGCGAUGUGGCUGCCACCGUGGGUCGCUCCCUGAGACGGGGAUGCCUCUCCAGAAACCGUGCUCACUGUCGAGUCUUGAUGGAGGUGGGAGAUCCCCUCUGCUGCUGUCAAACCACGGCCUCAUCCAGCACAAUGGCCUGUCUCCCGCAGUGGUCAGCAGUGGAUGCCUAAGGAAUUCAGAACAGGGCAGGCACCUCUGGCUGUUUCCUCAAAAACACCCUCCAGCCUUCAGCAGCUUGUAGCUUCCCAUCUUCCUGCAACGGGUGCACUCCCAGGAGGCAAGUUUGCCCCUCUGAUGGUUUAUUUGGAGAUGCUGUGCCUGAAGCACGGGAAACCCCAGCACUAGAAGCGCAGCCAGCUGGGCAGUCUGGGGUGGACGUGGUCUGCUGCCCUCCCAGGUGUGCAGGUUGCAGUAGUGACACAUUUUCAGAAGGAUGUCAGGAAAGCGAGACCCUCAGGGCCCACUGAUGUAUGCAGUGUGUUGUCCCGGGAGGAAUGAGCUGCAAGACAGCAUGGUGCAGAGCAGCUAGACAUGUUCCACAACUAGAGCCUUCCACAGGGAUUGAGGCCGUGACAGCGAGGGCCUCCGCGGUACCUCAGCUUGGUGGGAGCGAAGAGGCAGUGGUACCCCGCGGACCGGGUGGGCAGAGUCCUGCUGGCAACCGGGGCAUCUGCCCCCCCGUCCGCGGAGCCCUCCCCGUCCGCGGGGUGACCGCUGCUCACAGCGCCCACGCGCCGCCUUGUGCGGCUCUCCGGAUUCCCGUCUUCUGUCACAAAAUAAACUUUACGUUUGCGCAUUAAAUGGCAGUUACAACUGGGGACACCUGAAAUUGUAAUGCUUAGCAUAGGUUGUUUGUGUCCUGUAUUGUACCUUCGUUUUUUAUGGAAGAGAUGAAAGCUUUUAUCUCAACUUCUGUGGAGCAGUAGUAAUAACCUGCUGUAAGCCCGGCUGACCUGAGUGCCACUGUUAGCUCAGGAAAAUGAGAUAAAGGGUAUAAAUCCACCCCCCUGAGUUUUUACAGCAAGUGUUGUUUUGGUUGCCUCCCUAACUUUUCUCCUCCUGCAUGUUGGCAUACAUGCAGCAACUGUGUUUUUCUAAUUAAUGCCUAACAUCUUUUAUUUUUUUAUCUAAUUGAUACAGUUUUGAUAACUGUGGAGGCUUAUGGAAAUUCUUAUUUAGUUUAAAACAACAUCCUUUCGGAGCAAGGCAAUGUGACUUCUGGUGCAGGUAUGUCACCUUAAAAUUCUGCACAUUCAUAAUCACAGAAUUGCUAAGUGUCUGGGUGGUUGUAGUAAAUGCAAGUGGUUUUGUUCAUGCUGUAACCAGUUCCCAAAAAUAGUUCUGCUGGUUUGUGUGGUACCAUGUCAGACAAACAGCAAUUCAAAUAAUUUUUUACAAUGUUAGGAUGCAAUCACCUGUGAUAUAAAAACAAACAACAAAAAAGUCAAGAGUAUUCAAUAGUACUUUGUAAUAACUUGACUAAAACCAACAGAAGGAGAAGAGCUUCUUAUUUCAUUAUGAAGCCUUUAUUAUCCUUUUUUUGAAAUUCCUGUAGUGUGUACUCAUAAGCUGUGGGUUUUAUAGGUCAGCAUGGCUUGUCCCUCAGCUGCAUAAGGAUAAUUAAUUGCUCUCUGAAACACAAAGUCUGUUCUUUCAACACUGUGAAGUACAAUCACUGUGUAAAGUUCCUGCAGAUGCUGAGUAGUGCUGUUGGCACUCAGACGGUGUUAGAGCUGGCGUUCCCUGCCUUUCUCAUUCCAUGAUUUCUUUACAUCCUAUUUGCUUAUAGUGCCUAUUGUAUGGGCUUCCUCAGUUGGUUAGACUUUACACCUGGGAACACAGAAAUGCAGUGGAUCACUGUGCUGUCCUUUCACCUUUAUACACUAGGGUUUACAUUUUCUCACUCACAGCUAACUGUAAAUUUUAUUAUCCAUCGAGUAUAUCUGCCUUGAAUCCCAUCAAUGGGCACAAGGUGCCGGCGACCAGCCUCGGACCACAGCGGGCAGCAGCUUCUGCCUUACUGGAGCUCAGCUGUGCAACUGGAGCGUCAGUAUGUGGCAUCGCCUAUGCAGCCCUCGCCAACACCAUGGGAGAAAGCAUAAAGAAAAUCAGGGUGGUUUAUCAUUAAAAAGCAAGAAGUGUUUUGUUGAAUUUGUUCCUGACAGGGUGGCUGUUCUAGUGCGGUGAUGGUUCUAAUGACAGCAGAUGCUUUUUCACUGAGACUCUUCCCAGGAGGAGAUGCCAGGGGAUAGAUAAUUGGACAUACUGGAACCACUUAGAAACUUUUAUAUCGUUUUAUAUUUAUUGAAAAGAUAAUGACUGUUUCUGUCUUGAAGUGACCUAAAAACUGUAGAAAGGCAAUAUGCAAAAGCACGUAAAAGUUGGGUCCUGUCCGCCUCCUGUGUGAGCUGAUAGACGUUUGUCAGAGGUUUCAGUAUAAAUUUAGUAUAAACUUAAAUGUACUCCUAGUUGCAUACUAAUUUUGUGUAUUAAUGUCUGUGCCAGCCUAGAUUGCCUGCAGAAUGAAAGCUUGUUCUUUAUAUUCUGAACAGGAGCAUUGCAUUUCACCAAAAAUGAAAUUUUAAAAAAAUACAUUAAAAAGAAAGUUGAGAUCUGGAAUGGCUCAAGAGCGAGCUGGAGCCUCGGUCACUGGCAAGACCCGCUGUCCCUGGGCACGUGGACCUCUUGUACAGGACAGUAUUGAAUUUCCUGACUGUCACUAGACUGCAUUGAACAUUCAGUCACCCCCUUUCUCCCAGCUGUGUUAAUUUUAGACUUGUCUUCUUUCUGGUUGUAGUUAUUGAAUUAGGAGUUUUUUGCCAUCUGGCACAUUUUUAAUUCACUUUCUUGUAGUGAUAAUAUUUUUAGCAGCUGAAAGCAGAAUGAUUUUCUUUUGUCAAUGAGAAGUGAAAGGUAAGAAGAAGAACGUGCUGCAGAAGACGGGGAUGCGGUGGAAGAGAUCUGAGGAGAUGUGAGUGGAUCUGCUCCAACACGUUUGGUACAAUUACUUGCUUUGCUUUGUCUGCAGAUCUGUGGACAAAUGCCGUUUCAGGCAGCGACUGGUUUGCUGGCAUUAACCUAGCCUCUAGUGAAUAUUUUUUCUGUGUCUCUAAAAUGACAUUUUCUUGGAAAUGGCAAGGGCUGAUUUGUGCAUGGCUGUGGCUGAGAUAGGGACAGCUUUGCAAAUCAAAAUUCAGGCUCAUUAGGCAUAGGGUGCCCUUGAAUUUCGCCUGUUAUUUUGGUAGCCAGUCACCGUAGCGCUUGUGCCUGAUGGCAGGUUGAGUUAUUGUCUGACUUCUAUAAAUGCAAGAAAUCCACCAGAUUGCAAAUCUGUCUGUGAAAUUUUCCUUGAAGAUCCAUCACGAUCAAAAUGUACUGGCUUCGUAACUCAGUCAGUUGAAAAAUCUUACCGUCAGGGGGUGUGUAUAAAUCCCAAUUUAGGCUUUGUUUCCAGAACUGUGCAGCUCUGCCAAUUCCUUUGUGUAAAUGUGGGAUUCCUAAUACUGGUGUCCAGUGGGAAUUUUUGUACAUUUUUUAUUUAUCUCUAGGGGUUUUUUUUACUUAUAUCUUUAUGGGGAUGAAAGCGUUUUAAAUUUAUGGUGUAGUUAAAUCUCUUGUAAGCGGUAUAAUGAAACUUUAUAACUCCCUUCAGCUGGGGGGCGUACUGGUCAUUUGUCUCCAGGAGAUGUUAAUUGCUGAUGUGAUUUUCAGUUAAGUAUGAUCCUGUCUAUUAUGUGUCUCAGUUCCAGUGUAGGCUCAUUUUUGUUCCCUAUUUUCCUGUGUAAUUGUAGUGGAUUUUUUUUAUAAAAAGUCAUUUUGUACCUAGGGCACUGAAGCUUAAUGAUAUUUAUACUUUCUAGCUCUUUUUUUAAAAUGCCAACACAAUAUAUAAUGUUUAGUUCUUUUUGUGAUUUUUAGAUGUUACUUAAUAGAAAACCUCAUAAAAACAUUGCACAGAAAGCUUGUAUAGAACCAGCAACAUGUUUUUGAAUUUCUGUGUGUGUGAUAAUGUAUAUACGCACAGAUAUAUAUGUAUAUGAAGAGUUGUUUCU